UACAGAGGGUGCGAGCGUUGUUCGGAAUUAUUGGGCGUAAAGGGCGCGUAGGUGGAAGAGAAAGUCGUUUGUGAAAUUCCGGAGCUUAACUUCGGAGCUGCAAGCGAAACUUCUCAUCUAGAGGGUAGUCGGAGGAAACGGAAUUCCACGUGUAGCGGUGAAAUGCGUAGAUAUGUGGAAGAACACCGGUGGCGAAAGCGGUUUCCUAGAUUACACCUGACACUGAUGCGCGAGAGCGUGGGGAGCAAACAGG
rnacentral:rRNA from 1 species